UUAAGCGACUAAGCGUACACGGUGGAUGCCCUGGCAGUCAGAGGCGAUGAAGGACGUGCUAAUCUGCGAUAAGCGUCGGUGAGGUGAUAUGAACCGUUAUAACCGGCGAUUUCCGAAUGGGGAAACCCAGUGUGUUUCGACACACUAUCAUUAACUGAAUCCAUAGGUUAAUGAGGCGAACCGGGGGAACUGAAACAUCUAAGUACCCCGAGGAAAAGAAAUCAACCGAGAUUCCCCCAGUAGCGGCGAGCGAACGGGGAGGAGCCCAGAGCCUGAAUCAGUGUGUGUGUUAGUGGAAGCGUCUGGAAAGGCGUGCGAUACAGGGUGACAGCCCCGUACACAAAAAUGCACAUACUGUGAGCUCGAUGAGUAGGGCGGGACACGUGGUAUCCUGUCUGAAUAUGGGGGGACCAUCCUCCAAGGCUAAAUACUCCUGACUGACCGAUAGUGAACCAGUACCGUGAGGGAAAGGCGAAAAGAACCCCGGCGAGGGGAGUGAAAAAGAACCUGAAACCGUGUACGUACAAGCAGUGGGAGCCUCUUAAUGGGGUGACUGCGUACCUUUUGUAUAAUGGGUCAGCGACUUAUAUUCUGUAGCAAGGUUAACCGAAUAGGGGAGCCGAAGGGAAACCGAGUCUUAACUGGGCGUUAAGUUGCAGGGUAUAGACCCGAAACCCGGUGAUCUAGCCAUGGGCAGGUUGAAGGUUGGGUAACACUAACUGGAGGACCGAACCGACUAAUGUUGAAAAAUUAGCGGAUGACUUGUGGCUGGGGGUGAAAGGCCAAUCAAACCGGGAGAUAGCUGGUUCUCCCCGAAAGCUAUUUAGGUAGCGCCUCGUGAAUUCAUCUCCGGGGGUAGAGCACUGUUUCGGCAAGGGGGUCAUCCCGACUUACCAACCCGAUGCAAACUGCGAAUACCGGAGAAUGUUAUCACGGGAGACACACGGCGGGUGCUAACGUCCGUCGUGAAGAGGGAAACAACCCAGACCGCCAGCUAAGGUCCCAAAGUCAUGGUUAAGUGGGAAACGAUGUGGGAAGGCCCAGACAGCCAGGAUGUUGGCUUAGAAGCAGCCAUCAUUUAAAGAAAGCGUAAUAGCUCACUGGUCGAGUCGGCCUGCGCGGAAGAUGUAACGGGGCUAAACCAUGCACCGAAGCUGCGGCAGCGACGCUUAUGCGUUGUUGGGUAGGGGAGCGUUCUGUAAGCCUGUGAAGGUGUGCUGUGAGGCAUGCUGGAGGUAUCAGAAGUGCGAAUGCUGACAUAAGUAACGAUAAAGCGGGUGAAAAGCCCGCUCGCCGGAAGACCAAGGGUUCCUGUCCAACGUUAAUCGGGGCAGGGUGAGUCGACCCCUAAGGCGAGGCCGAAAGGCGUAGUCGAUGGGAAACAGGUUAAUAUUCCUGUACUUGGUGUUACUGCGAAGGGGGGACGGAGAAGGCUAUGUUGGCCGGGCGACGGUUGUCCCGGUUUAAGCGUGUAGGCUGGUUUUCCAGGCAAAUCCGGAAAAUCAAGGCUGAGGCGUGAUGACGAGGCACUACGGUGCUGAAGCGACAAAUGCCCUGCUUCCAGGAAAAGCCUCUAAGCAUCAGGUAACAUCAAAUCGUACCCCAAACCGACACAGGUGGUCAGGUAGAGAAUACCAAGGCGCUUGAGAGAACUCGGGUGAAGGAACUAGGCAAAAUGGUGCCGUAACUUCGGGAGAAGGCACGCUGAUAUGUAGGUGAAGCGACUUGCUCGUGGAGCUGAAAUCAGUCGAAGAUACCAGCUGGCUGCAACUGUUUAUUAAAAACACAGCACUGUGCAAACACGAAAGUGGACGUAUACGGUGUGACGCCUGCCCGGUGCCGGAAGGUUAAUUGAUGGGGUUAGCGGUAACGCGAAGCUCUUGAUCGAAGCCCCGGUAAACGGCGGCCGUAACUAUAACGGUCCUAAGGUAGCGAAAUUCCUUGUCGGGUAAGUUCCGACCUGCACGAAUGGCGUAAUGAUGGCCAGGCUGUCUCCACCCGAGACUCAGUGAAAUUGAACUCGCUGUGAAGAUGCAGUGUACCCGCGGCAAGACGGAAAGACCCCGUGAACCUUUACUAUAGCUUGACACUGAACAUUGAGCCUUGAUGUGUAGGAUAGGUGGGAGGCUUUGAAGUGUGGACGCCAGUCUGCAUGGAGCCGACCUUGAAAUACCACCCUUUAAUGUUUGAUGUUCUAACGUGGGCCCCUAAUCGGGGUUGCGGACAGUGUCUGGUGGGUAGUUUGACUGGGGCGGUCUCCUCCUAAAGAGUAACGGAGGAGCACGAAGGUUGGCUAAUCCUGGUCGGACAUCAGGAGGUUAGUGCAAUGGCAUAAGCCAGCUUGACUGCGAGCGUGACGGCGCGAGCAGGUGCGAAAGCAGGUCAUAGUGAUCCGGUGGUUCUGAAUGGAAGGGCCAUCGCUCAACGGAUAAAAGGUACUCCGGGGAUAACAGGCUGAUACCGCCCAAGAGUUCAUAUCGACGGCGGUGUUUGGCACCUCGAUGUCGGCUCAUCACAUCCUGGGGCUGAAGUAGGUCCCAAGGGUAUGGCUGUUCGCCAUUUAAAGUGGUACGCGAGCUGGGUUUAGAACGUCGUGAGACAGUUCGGUCCCUAUCUGCCGUGGGCGCUGGAGAACUGAGGGGGGCUGCUCCUAGUACGAGAGGACCGGAGUGGACGCAUCACUGGUGUUCGGGUUGUCAUGCCAAUGGCACUGCCCGGUAGCUAAAUGCGGAAGAGAUAAGUGCUGAAAGCAUCUAAGCACGAAACUUGCCCCGAGAUGAGUUCUCCCUGACUCCUUGAGAGUCCUGAAGGAACGUUGAAGACGACGACGUUGAUAGGCCGGGUGUGUAAGCGCAGCGAUGCGUUGAGCUAACCGGUACUAAUGAACCGUGAGGCUUAACCUU
rnacentral:rRNA from 1 species